CCUACGGGAGGCAGCAGUGGGGAAUUUUGGACAAUGGACGCAAGUCUGAUCCAGCCAUGCCGCGUGUGGGAAGAAGGCCUUCGGGUUGUAAACCACUUUUGUCAGGGAAGAAACGGCUCGGGUUAAUACCUUGGGCUAAUGACGGUACCUGAAGAAUAAGCACCGGCUAACUACGUGCCAGCAGCCGCGGUAAUACGUAGGGUGCAAGCGUUAAUCGGAAUUACUGGGCGUAAAGCGUGCGCAGGCGGUUAUGCAAGACAGAUGUGAAAUCCCCGGGCUCAACCUGGGAACUGCAUUUGUGACUGCAUGGCUAGAGUACGGUAGAGGGGGAUGGAAUUCCGCGUGUAGCAGUGAAAUGCGUAGAUAUGCGGAGGAACACCGAUGGCGAAGGCAAUCCCCUGGACCUGUACUGACGCUCAUGCACGAAAGCGUGGGGAGCAAACAGGAUUAGAUACCCUGGUAGUCCACGCCCUAAACGAUGUCAACUGGUUGUUGGGAGGGUUUCUUCUCAGUAACGUAGCUAACGCGUGAAGUUGACCGCCUGGGGAGGUACGGCCGCGAGGUAGAACGACGAAGAGUAGUAGCGNGAGAGAGACGACGACGACGACGAGGAGGAGG
rnacentral:rRNA from 1 species